rnacentral:tRNA from 1 species
GGGGCUGUAGCUCAGGGGUUAGAGCAGUCGGCUCAUAACCGAUUGGUCGCUGGUUCGAACCCAGCCAGCCCCACCA